UUUUCUUUGCCAAGUAGAUCAGCGCUGCUGUGCUCCAGGUGAGGAGCUGAGGCAUCAAGACAGAAAGCUUGCCUGAGGAAUCAGAAGCAACAGGCAGAUUUGGAGCUAUCAGAGAGCAACAACUGGCACAAACCCCUCAAUCUAUUAACUAUCCCAUCUUGAUGCACUUUGGCUGACAAAAGAAACCUCACACCACAAAGCCUCACGAUCCACUUGGUCAAAAAAGUAGUUCUGCUUUUGAUACCAACAAGUCCUGAGAAAUAGCAAGCUUCUCUUUUAGCUAUGAUAGUGUUGGUUAGUUGGUUUGCUUGUUUUGCGUGGCCACAUUCAUAGUGCUACAUCUGAUACUGUGCACGUCGGAGACUUGCAAAGAGCACAGACAGAGCUCCACAGUUCCUCUUAUCUUCAUUGCUGUCCUGAAGAAUUACUGAGGAAGAGUUAUCUCCUAUCUCUGACCCCAGAAGAAGAAACAGAAUUAUUUAGGAAAGCUGGCAUCUAUGAAGAUGAUAGUCACCUAGUUAACUAAUCAUUGGUUCCCACAAAAAGUCUCAUCUGAUAAGAGACCCAGAGAAGAAAGAGAGAGAGAGAGAGA